AUGCAAAGAUGGAGUUUCGCUGUUGUUACCCAGACUGGAGUGCAAUGGCACGAUCUCGAAUCACCGCAACCUCCGCCUUCUGGGUUCAAGCAAUUCUCCUGCCUCAGCCUCCCGAGUAGCUGGAACUACAGGAAACUGCCACUGCCUGAACCGACACAGCCUGAGCAGAAUGUUCCAGGGCACAGAGAGACACCAGCACAGCCAGUCAAGGUACGACUUCAAGCCUUGAACAUGAUAUUAUUGGAGUUCAGAAAACAAUACCCCAAACUGAAGACCUCAGAAGCAGCCUUACUAGGGGGAGUCAGAGCAAGAUGGCCAAAUAGAACCCUUCAGUGA
rnacentral:lncRNA from 13 species